UACGGAGGGUGCAAGCGUUGUUCGGAAUUACUGGGCGUAAAGCGCGUGUAGGCGGCCUGCUAAGUCCGAUGUGAAAUCCCGGGGCUCACCCCCGGAAGUGCAUCGGAUACUGGUGAGCUAGAGUACCGGAGAGGAGGACGGAAUUCCUGGUGUAGCGGUGAAAUGCGUAGAUAUCAGGAGGAACACCGGUGGCGAAGGCGGUCCUCUGGACGGAUACUGACGCUGAGACGCGAAAGCGUGGGGAGCAAACAGG
rnacentral:rRNA from 1 species